GGUUAAGCGACUAAGCGUACACGGUGGAUGCCCUGGCAGUCAGAGGCGAUGAAGGACGUGCUAAUCUGCGAUAAGCGUCGGUAAGGUGAUAUGAACCGUUAUAACCGGCGAUUUCCGAAUGGGGAAACCCAGUGUGAUUCGUCACACUAUCAUUAACUGAAUCCAUAGGUUAAUGAGGCGAACCGGGGGAACUGAAACAUCUAAGUACCCCGAGGAAAAGAAAUCAACCGAGAUUCCCCCAGUAGCGGCGAGCGAACGGGGAGCAGCCCAGAGCCUGAAUCAGUGUGUGUGUUAGUGGAAGCGUCUGGAAAGGCGCGCGAUACAGGGUGACAGCCCCGUACACAAAAAUGCACAUACUGUGAGCUCGAUGAGUAGGGCGGGACACGUGGUAUCCUGUCUGAAUAUGGGGGGACCAUCCUCCAAGGCUAAAUACUCCUGACUGACCGAUAGUGAACCAGUACCGUGAGGGAAAGGCGAAAAGAACCCCGGCGAGGGGAGUGAAAAAGAACCUGAAACCGUGUACGUACAAGCAGUGGGAGCACGCUUAGGCGUGUGACUGCGUACCUUUUGUAUAAUGGGUCAGCGACUUAUAUUCUGUAGCAAGGUUAACCGAAUAGGGGAGCCGAAGGGAAACCGAGUCUUAACUGGGCGUUAAGUUGCAGGGUAUAGACCCGAAACCCGGUGAUCUAGCCAUGGGCAGGUUGAAGGUUGGGUAACACUAACUGGAGGACCGAACCGACUAAUGUUGAAAAAUUAGCGGAUGACUUGUGGCUGGGGGUGAAAGGCCAAUCAAACCGGGAGAUAGCUGGUUCUCCCCGAAAGCUAUUUAGGUAGCGCCUCGUGAAUUCAUCUCCGGGGGUAGAGCACUGUUUCGGCAAGGGGGUCAUCCCGACUUACCAACCCGAUGCAAACUGCGAAUACCGGAGAAUGUUAUCACGGGAGACACACGGCGGGUGCUAACGUCCGUCGUGAAGAGGGAAACAACCCAGACCGCCAGCUAAGGUCCCAAAGUCAUGGUUAAGUGGGAAACGAUGUGGGAAGGCCCAGACAGCCAGGAUGUUGGCUUAGAAGCAGCCAUCAUUUAAAGAAAGCGUAAUAGCUCACUGGUCGAGUCGGCCUGCGCGGAAGAUGUAACGGGGCUAAACCAUGCACCGAAGCUGCGGCAGCGACGCUGAUGCGUUGUUGGGUAGGGGAGCGUUCUGUAAGCCUGCGAAGGUGUGCUGUGAGGCAUGCUGGAGGUAUCAGAAGUGCGAAUGCUGACAUAAGUAACGAUAAAGCGGGUGAAAAGCCCGCUCGCCGGAAGACCAAGGGUUCCUGUCCAACGUUAAUCGGGGCAGGGUGAGUCGACCCCUAAGGCGAGGCCGAAAGGCGUAGUCGAUGGGAAACAGGUUAAUAUUCCUGUACUUGGUGUUACUGCGAAGGGGGGACGGAGAAGGCUAUGUUGGCCGGGCGACGGUUGUCCCGGUUUAAGCGUGUAGGCUGGUUUUCCAGGCAAAUCCGGAAAAUCAAGGCUGAGGCGUGAUGACGAGGCACUACGGUGCUGAAGCAACAAAUGCCCUGCUUCCAGGAAAAGCCUCUAAGCAUCAGGUAACAUCAAAUCGUACCCCAAACCGACACAGGUGGUCAGGUAGAGAAUACCAAGGCGCUUGAGAGAACUCGGGUGAAGGAACUAGGCAAAAUGGUGCCGUAACUUCGGGAGAAGGCACGCUGAUAUGUAGGUGAAGUCCCUCGCGGAUGGAGCUGAAAUCAGUCGAAGAUACCAGCUGGCUGCAACUGUUUAUUAAAAACACAGCACUGUGCAAACACGAAAGUGGACGUAUACGGUGUGACGCCUGCCCGGUGCCGGAAGGUUAAUUGAUGGGGUCAGCGCAAGCGAAGCUCUUGAUCGAAGCCCCGGUAAACGGCGGCCGUAACUAUAACGGUCCUAAGGUAGCGAAAUUCCUUGUCGGGUAAGUUCCGACCUGCACGAAUGGCGUAAUGAUGGCCAGGCUGUCUCCACCCGAGACUCAGUGAAAUUGAACUCGCUGUGAAGAUGCAGUGUACCCGCGGCAAGACGGAAAGACCCCGUGAACCUUUACUAUAGCUUGACACUGAACAUUGAGCCUUGAUGUGUAGGAUAGGUGGGAGGCUUUGAAGUGUGGACGCCAGUCUGCAUGGAGCCGACCUUGAAAUACCACCCUUUAAUGUUUGAUGUUCUAACGUUGACCCGUGAUCCGGGUUGCGGACAGUGUCUGGUGGGUAGUUUGACUGGGGCGGUCUCCUCCUAAAGAGUAACGGAGGAGCACGAAGGUUGGCUAAUCCUGGUCGGACAUCAGGAGGUUAGUGCAAUGGCAUAAGCCAGCUUGACUGCGAGCGUGACGGCGCGAGCAGGUGCGAAAGCAGGUCAUAGUGAUCCGGUGGUUCUGAAUGGAAGGGCCAUCGCUCAACGGAUAAAAGGUACUCCGGGGAUAACAGGCUGAUACCGCCCAAGAGUUCAUAUCGACGGCGGUGUUUGGCACCUCGAUGUCGGCUCAUCACAUCCUGGGGCUGAAGUAGGUCCCAAGGGUAUGGCUGUUCGCCAUUUAAAGUGGUACGCGAGCUGGGUUUAGAACGUCGUGAGACAGUUCGGUCCCUAUCUGCCGUGGGCGCUGGAGAACUGAGGGGGGCUGCUCCUAGUACGAGAGGACCGGAGUGGACGCAUCACUGGUGUUCGGGUUGUCAUGCCAAUGGCACUGCCCGGUAGCUAAAUGCGGAAGAGAUAAGUGCUGAAAGCAUCUAAGCACGAAACUUGCCCCGAGAUGAGUUCUCCCUGACUCCUUGAGAGUCCUGAAGGAACGUUGAAGACGACGACGUUGAUAGGCCGGGUGUGUAAGCGCAGCGAUGCGUUGAGCUAACCGGUACUAAUGAACCGUGAGGCUUAACCUU
rnacentral:rRNA from 1 species